rnacentral:rRNA from 1 species
UGCAAGUCGAACGAACUCUUCGGAGUUAGUGGCGGACGGGUGAGUAACGCGUGAGAAUCUGCCUUCAGGUCUGGGACAACCACUGGAAACGGUGGCUAAUUUUUUACCGGAUGUGCUUCACGGUGAAAGAUUAAUCGCCUGAAGAUGAGCUCGCGUCUGAUUAGCUAGUUGGUGGGGUUUUUAAGAGCCUACCAAGGCGACGAUCAGUAACUGGUCUGAGAGGAUGAUCAGUCACACUGGAACUGAGACACGGUCCAGACUCCUACGGGAGGCAGCAGUGGGGAAUUUUCCGCAAUGGGCGAAAGCCUGACGGAGCAAUACCGCGUGAGGGAGGAAGGCUCUUGGGUUGUAAACCUCUUUUCUCAAGGAAGAAGACAAUGACGGUACUUGAGGAAUAAGCAUCGGCUAACUCCCCCCGUGCCAGCAGCCGCGGUAAUAAAAACGGAGGAUGCAAGCGUUAUCCGGAAUGAUUGGGCGUAAAGCGUCCGCAGGUGGUUUUGUAAGUCUGCUGUUAAAGCGUCAUGCUCAACAUGAUAAAGGCAGUGGAAACUUUUUUUACUCAACUCGAGUGCGUUCGGGGCAGAGGGAAUUCCUGGUGUAGCGGUGAAAUGCGUAGAGAUCAGGAAGAACACCGGUGGCGAAAGCGCUCUGCUAGGCCGCAACUGACACUGAGGGACGGGGAAAGCUAGGGGAGCGAAUGGGAUUAGAUACCCCAGUAGUCCUAGCCCCCCCGUAAACGAUGGAUACUAGGUGUUGCUUGUAUCGACCCGAGCAGUACCCCCCCGUAGCUAACGCGUUAAGUAUCCCGCCUGGGGAGGGGGUACGCACGCAAGUGUGAAACUCAAAGGAAUUGACGGGGGCCCGCACAAGCGGUGGAGUAUGUGGUUUAAUUUUUUUCGAUGCAACGCGAAGAACCUUACCAGGACUUGACAUGUCGCGAAUUUCGGUGAAAGCUGAAAGUGCCUUCGGGAGCGCGAACACAGGUGGUGCAUGGCUGUCGUCAGCUCGUGUCGUGAGAUGUUGGGUUAAGUCCCGCAACGAGCGCAACCCUCGUUUUUAGUUGCCAGCAUUUAGUUGGGCACUCUAGAGAGACUGCCGGUGACAAACCGGAGGAAGGUGGGGAUGACGUCAAGUCAGCAUGCCCCUUACGUCCUGGGCUACACACGUACUACAAUGCUACGAACAAAGGGCAAAAAGCGACACAGCGAUGUGAUGCAAAUCUCAGAAAUCGUAGCUCAGUUCAGAUCGCAGGCUGCAACUCGCCUGCGUGAAGUCGGAAUCGCUAGUAAUUGCAGGUCAGCAUACUGCAGUGAAUUCGUUCCCGGGCCUUGUACACACCGCCCGUCACACCAUGGAAGCUGGUAGUGCCCGAAGUCAUUACCCCAACCUUU